rnacentral:lncRNA from 1 species
UCCCCAGCCCUGUUUAUGUUUUUUAUUUUUAAGACAGGGUCUCAUUAAAUUUCUUAGGGCCUCAUUAAGUUACUGAGGCAGACCUCGAACUUUUGAUCCUCCUGCCUUAGCCUCCUGAAUUACUGGGAUUACAGGCACGUACCACUGUUCAGGCCCAGACUGAAAAAUAUUAUCCUAAAGAAACCACUACUAGAGUUGCUCUUUGGAAGGUAACAUUAUUCGUUUAGGAUACUACUCUAAUAAAUACUAGGAAGUAGAAUAUGAGAACACCAAGAAAUCCAGGUGAAUGUUGGAGGCUCUGUAGGAAAAAAAGGGGAGGAUAUUGCUCAUUCAGAAAUAGGAACAGAAAGCAAAGCUCUGAGCUCAUCAGAUGGUAAAAGCAUUCUGGUUCACAUUAGAAUCUGCUCCCUGUGAUACUUCAACUCUUCAGUAGAGAAUUUAAACCCACAAAAUUUCUGAGGUAGGGUUUUUUGGUUUUGCUUUUGUUUGGUGUGGAAACUGAUGUAGGGACUGAACAUUGCACCCAAGCCUGCACAGAGCAGAAUAAGUGGAGCUAUAGGAGCAAAGACUUAGAGGAUCAUGAAGAAAUGGCUCUCAGAAACUGUGGGCAGCUGAUCUCAACAAGCUAGAAAAGCGGCAUUUUGCCACACUUGUGGCUUUUUCUAGGAGCAUAGAGUCCCUGACAUUUAGCUUCCAUAUCAAUAUCAUAAUUAGAGAAUAGCACCAAGUGGAUGGGCACCAAGUGCAGAAACACUUUGGCCUGUUAUUCAGGUAGGGAAACUAAGUCAUAAGCAAUGGAUGAGAUGGAACUGAGGUAUUUGUACAUCAGUGAGGAGACUCCUUUGGACUUGAGAUCAAACCUAUCUCUCCACCCUUCCAAUCAACCAACAGGAAUUUACUGAGGACUUGUUAUGAUUUUGUUUUGUUUGUAAUAUGUGUAUAUUUGUUUUGUUGGCAGAACCCAGGGGUACUGUACCCCUGAGAUACAUCUCCCAGCCCUUUUAAUUGUUUGUUUUGAGACAGGGUCUCACUAAAUUGCCCAGGCCUGUCUCAUACUCCCAAGUAUCUCUAUCCAUCUCUCCCUCCCCCACCCUCUCUUUCUCUUUUUGGUACUAGGGAUUGAAC